rnacentral:lncRNA from 10 species
UGACCACUGGCUGGAGGACCUGAUGGAUCCUAAGAAGCCCUGAGAGCUGAGGUCCAACAACUUGAUGUAAACCUCAAAGGAUUCAUCAUUGCAACAGAUUAUUCAUGGGCUGAACUUUUCCCUGGACACGCUGCUGUCUGGCUGCUGUUUGGGCCAUUAAAGAAGGAAGUCCAGCAAAAUGCUCAGGUCAUGCAUGCUCUUAUAUGGGAAGCAACCAAGACUGUGGACAAUAUCACCAGAGUAUUGACGUCCUAACUUCAAGAAACCCAAUGAAUGGUGUUGUGUAAGCGAAAGAUUUUCCUCCACUGACCUCCUGGCAUCUGUCAGACUAUUUACUGUCCGGUUUCAACUCCUAGCUCUUUAGUUUAAUGCAAUCUUUUACAUUAAAUAUCUGUCUUUUUAAAUGUAAGAUGCCUGAUAUCCAGGACUUGAAAAGAACUGAUCUUUGCCACCGCCUGUCAACAGAUGGUUCAACUAAUUUUACAAGAACAAUGCCAACAAGAGCCCCUGAGAAACUGUUUCUUAGACCCUGCUUUGCGCCACACCAGAGGGCUUAUGAUCACUUCUGAGUUGUUCAGUGAGGAAUAAUAUUCACUUGUUUUGAACUGAAGGAGGAACUGGGAAUGUUAAACUUUAUCUGAGCCCUGUCCUCACAGGAAACAGUGACAGUUAAGAAAUCUCCCCACUGUUUUGUAUUCUGGGAAAUGAUUAACAACAAAGAAUCAUCCUCCUCCACAUGCGAUAGGAGUCUCUGUUUCUUGAAACCAGAAGUGUCUGGCCUGGUACCCUGCUCUAGAACUCUUCCUGAAGUGAGGCCAGAGCAUCCCAAGCAAAAUCUCCAGGUCCCAGUCCAUAGGCAACUUCCUGUCAAAGGAAUAAUUUCAGGAGGAAGGAAGACCACGUGCUCCAUGGUUGGUCUCUGUACUGUCAGUAUCACGGAUGCAAUGGCGGUUGGAGAGAAUAGGAGUGUCUGUGGAAGAGAAGGAAGACCAGACCUCUGGAAGCUGCUGAUCUGAGGAGAAUGAGAGACAAGUAGAGUAGACCUCGUCUCAACCCACGGCUUGAAUGCCAAACUAGCUGAGGUCAACCCAGGUUCAUCAAAUCUCUAACAACACAAAUACCUGAGGAAGAACGAAUACAUUUGUUAUACCAUUGAGUUUCCAGAUUGCUUCUUAUGCAGUAUAUUUUUGGUAAUAGCUGAUAACUACGGUUAAGAAAGUAACAUUAGGGACAUAAAUAAUAAUAUGAGAACAAUAUUUCCCUCCCAGUGAGGGCUGAAAUAAGGCCUCUAUCUUUUAGAUACAUAGAAGACAGAAUUUGUUGAUGGUAUCUGUGUUGUCCUAGAUUGGUUAAUUGGGGGAACACUGGAAAAUUUUGUUUCUGGAUAGCUUAAUGAAGAGUCAUCUUUCUGGGAUAAUUUCUUGCAGAGACUCAGAUGUGCUAGGAGAAUAAGCUAGAGGUCUUUGAAAAAUCCCUUAAAGCCCAGCACAUUUUGCUGGCUUGUGAUGAUUUAGAAAAGGAGUUUAAAAGAUUUUGAAGUCAGAAAUACGCAAUUAGAUAGAAAAUUUAGCUUGAGCCUGGGAAGUUGACGCUGCAGUGAGCUGUGAUUAUGCCACUACACUCCAGGGUGGGCGACAGAGUGAGACUCUGCCUCACCAAAAAAAUAAUAAAAUAAAAU